CGCAGCGAAAUGCGAUAAGUAAUGUGAAUUGCAGAAUUCAGUGAAUCAUCGAAUCUUUGAACGCAACUUGCGCUCUCUGGUAUUCCGGAGAGCAUGCCUGUUUGAGUGUCAUGAUCUCUCAACCAAUAGAGUUUUCUAUUGGCUUGGAUCUGGGUGUUGCGAGCGAUCGCUCACCUUAAAGGAGUUAGCAUAUAGCAUGUCGUUUGGCGUAAUAAGUUUCGCUUAGUAAAUCGACAAGGCUUUGCUUCUAAUCGUCUUUUGACUUUUUUGACUCUGGCCUCAAAUCAGGUAGGACUACCCGCUGAACUUAAGCAUAUC
rnacentral:rRNA from 1 species